rnacentral:rRNA from 1 species
AACGAACGCUGGCGGCAUGCCUAACACAUGCAAGUCGAACGAGACCUUCGGGUCUAGUGGCGCACGGGUGCGUAACGCGUGGGAACCUGCCCUUAGGUUCGGAAUAACUCCCCGAAAGGGGUGCUAAUACCGGAUAAUGUCUUCGGACCAAAGAUUUAUCGCCUUUGGAUGGGCCCGCGUUGGAUUAGCUAGUUGGUAGGGUAAAAGCCUACCAAGGCGACGAUCCAUAGCUGGUCUGAGAGGAUGAUCAGCCACACUGGGACUGAGACACGGCCCAGACUCCUACGGAAGGCAGCAGUGGGGAAUAUUGGACAAUGGGCGAAAGCCUGAUCCAGCAAUGCCGCGUGAGUGAUGAAGGCCUUAGGGUUGUAAAGCUCUUUUACCCGGGACGAUAAUGACAGUACCGGGAGAAUAAGCUCCGGCUAACUCCGUG